GUAAGGAAUAUUGGUCAAUGGACGGAAGUCUGAACCAGCCAUCCCGCGUGCAGGAUGAAUGUCCUAUGGAUUGUAAACUGCUUUUAGCAGAGACGAAACGCCUUCAUUUAUGGGGGUCUGACGGUAUCUGCGGAAUAAGCACCGGCUAACUCCGUGCCAGCAGCCGCGGUAAUACGGAGGGUGCGAGCGUUAUCCGGAAUCACUGGGUUUAAAGGGUGCGUAGGCGGGUUAUUAAGUCAGUGGUGAAAUCCUGUCGCUUAACGAUAGAACUGCCAUUGAUACUGAUAAUCUUGAAUUGGGUUGAGGUUAGCGGAAUGUGACAUGUAGCGGUGAAAUGCAUAGAUAUGUCAUGGAACACCAAUUGCGAAGGCAGCUAGCUGGGCCUUGAUUGACGCUGAUGCACGAAAGCGUGGGUAGCGAACAGGAUUAGAAACCCGGGUAGUCC
rnacentral:rRNA from 1 species